UGCAUUAUCGAGAUAACUCAAGACGAAGACCUCGCCGCGUCGAUCCUCGACACGUUCUAGACUCCGACGCGAUACUCCGAAGGUCUCACCGUCGCGCCCGAUCCUACCUUCUCGUUCAGUUCGCCACGCCUCACCACAAGUUCGCAAGAAGAAUCCGGUAUGGAGGUUUCGAUGCUCGCACCUUCAAUGAACCGAUUUGAAAGCUAGAAAUCCAGCAUCGUCACCAUGAUAUGGCUUUCGAGAAUUCCUUCAUCGAGUCAGAAGGUGGAUUAUCCCGCUCGCAUUAUCGAGGUGAGAUGAAUCGAGGCGCCACUUUAUAGGUACUCCAAGAUUCUCGUGUUAAACGUUCAACAGCAAGUAGAAAUCCAGAUCAAGUCUAAACAAUCGUUGUCUUUACCGUGUUCGACAUCAAUGAAUCGUAUGGCACAUCAGAAGAAACGUGCCACAAAUUGAGUCGAGAUAAACUCAUGGUGUUUUAAAUUUGGCGCGGCGUGAUGUGUGGUCGUUGCCAAUGAAGGUUGAGGAUGUGAUGAAGAUAGAAGAAUGUGUGGAGAUGAAAGGUUGAAGGAUGAGAGGGUUCAAUAGAGAGGUUCAGUUUCUGCAAAUUCUCUUGCAGUUCAAAAACUGAGAGAAAGAUGAAGCAUGAAGAUGAAGUGCGUGAAGCGCCAUGAAGAAUGAAGCGUGAAGAGUUUUUAUUUUUUGUGAAAAUGAUCUAUAUCCCUCCAAUCACAAUAUAGGUAUCUAUUUAUAGAACCUUCGAUUCAAAAGCCAAAUGCUAUUCUGUUGGAGUUGGUUAUUUUAGCAGUUUGUUAAGUUAGUUCAGGCUGUUAGAAAAACAUUUAUGAGUCGGUUGGGUUAGUUAAUAAAGGAGAAGGUUAGCUAACAAACCUGUUAGGAUUGUGUUAUGAAAAUUAUUUUUAAUUCCAAAUGCAAUUUAAUUAUUAGUUGCACAUAUACAAUUCAGUAGAAAUCUAAAUUAAAGAUGAAUUUCUGUUAUGGAAAUGGUUGAAUCAGUGCACUGCUUAUGUUAGUUUGAAGUGAGUGCAUUGAAUCUAGUUACAGGGCUGCUAGUAUGAUGGAUGAGCUGUUUUGCUGUGAUGGUUUUUUUGCUUUGUUUAUGUUUAUAGAAGAUGCUAUUGUUCAUGCUAAAUGUAGCGGUUAAGUGUUAUUGGUUUGGAAGAGUGACAUUAGUUGAAAUUGGAGGAGAAUUUGGUUUUGUAGGGAUCAAUUUGAAAAGACGGAUUUGCAAGGCUAUUGAAUACGGGAGCGUGUUAGUAAUCUAGGUUAGUUGCUUUGAAAUCAUGUUAGAAGGAGGUUUUAGCAGAAAAAUCUAAAUAUUUAGAAUGUGGAGUUUAAUUAUGCAAUUUAUGGUGGAUUUCACUUGAAUAACUAUGUCAUAAUUUGUUGUGUUA